CCCUUAGAUGUUCUGGGCCGCACGCGUGCUACACUGAGUGGAUCAGCGGGUCAGGUUGCGCGAAAGCGUUUCCUAAUCUUUAAAUCCGCUCGUGAUGGGGCUAGACCCUUGCAAUUAUUGGUCUCCAACGAGGAAUUCCUAGUAAACGCGAGUCAUCAGCUCGCAUUGAUUACGUCCCUGCCCUUUGUACACACCGCCCGUCGCACCUACCGAUUGAAUGUUUCGGUGAAGAUUCCGGAUAGGACUUUUUUGAUUUAUUUCAAUUCUGUCUUAAAAGCUAUCUAAACCUCAACAUUUAGAGGAAGGUGAAGUCGUAACA
rnacentral:rRNA from 1 species